GAUGAACGCUGGCGGCGUGCCUAACACAUGCAAGUCGAACGGAGAUUACGGACGGAAGUUUUCGGAUGGAAGACUGUAAUUCUUAGUGGCGGACGGGGGAGUAACGCGUGGGCAACCUGCCCUAUACAGGGGGAUAGCAGCUGGAAACGGCUGGUAAGACCGCAUAAGUCGGCGAGACCGCAUGGUUUUGCCGGGAAAUGAGCAAUCAGGUAUAGGAUGGGCCCGCGUCCGAUUAGCCAGUUGGCAGGGUAAAAGCCUACCAAAGCAACGAUCGGUAGCCGGACUGAGAGGUCGGCCGGCCACAUUGGAACUGAGACACGGCCCAAACUCCUACGGGAGGCAGCAGUGGGGGAUAUUGCACAAUGGAGGAAACUCUGAUGCAGCGACGCCGCGUGAGGGAAGAAGUAUUUCGGUAUGUAAAGCGCUAUCAGCAGUGAAGAUGAUGACGGUACCUGACUAAGAAGCCCCGGCUAACUACGUG
rnacentral:rRNA from 1 species